UAAAUAAAUAAAAUAGUGCAAACGCAUUAGUUAUCUGCUUCGUAACAGUGACCUUGCUCUGCCAGACAACAUACGUUGUCCAUAGAGGCCCGAGAAGCACGUUGCUCGAAGGAUUUGCAACGCAGUGUGAAACAACUGCGGAGCGCAAGGUAACCAUGAUUGACAGAGGAAGAACAAUGAUUCCAAGCACCACCCUACUUUUGAAGCUUCCAGUCUGUUAUUCGAAGUCAAUCAGCAUGACAGAGUGAUCUCCAGCCUUGUCCUCGUCAACACCCACACCUGUGUUAAGGAGAGAAUCACUGACAUGUCAGCUGGUCCUUUUGUGGCAGGGCUGAAAUGCAGUGGAAAUGUUUUUUGGGGAUUCAGUUAAUUUGCAUGGCAAAGAGGGACUUUGCAAUUAAUUGCAAUUCAUCUGAUCACUCUUCAUAUCAUUCUGGAGUAUAUGCAAAUUGCCAUCGUACAAAUUGAGGCAGCAAACUUUGAAAAUUAAUAUUUUUGCAGGUUUAAAGUUAAUUUCCUGCAAUUCAACACAUUUUGCCAUUGACCUGAGAGAAAAUGUUGCAGUUUUCAAGCAAAUUUCCAUCUAGCUGAGAGAAUAUUUUUCAGUUUUGAAGAGUUUCCUGCAAUUCAACACAUUUUGACACUGAGCUUGAGAGAACAUUUUGCCAUAGUUAAUGCUGUGUUCUUUUGCUCUAACUUCAAAAAUCAAUACUGUUAAAUUCAUUUUUUUUGGAAUGUUCAAUUCCUCUAACUGUUUAGCUUUUAUUUUGGUGAUUGUAAAGUUCUCAAAGAUUUAAAAAAUAUAUAUAGGUCCAUUAUUUUGUAUACAUACUUUAUAUUUGGGUUUAGUCAUUUAAGUUCACGCUGAAAGCAUUUUUUCCAUCCCGAAAAUUAAUAACAAAUUAAAUGUAAAAAAAUAAAACAUUCUUUACAUUUCGGCCCGUCCGGCCCACCCAAGGGUUUCUAUGGCAGAAAAAUCCCUGUACAUUGGGUCAACAUUCUGACCAUGUCUGUUUUUCUCUCUCUUCAGCUUCCUAUACUGUGAAGUUUUUCGAUGGAGUAGUCAAGACCAUUAAGCCAACCAAAGCAAAGCCAUAUAAGCUAGAGAAUGUGAAGGCCCAGGAGAGAGACAUAACUCAAGGUGAGCAGAGCAAUGGGAAAGGUGAAGCCAGAGAGUUACAAAUCCAAAAAAGGAUCUUCAGACCUGGAGGAAGAAGAGAGUAGGAAAGAUGAAGAGGAGAAAACGCGGAAUGGCAACAUUGAGAACAGUGGACAGAAUGGGAACCUGAACGGCGAGGAGGGGGAGACAGGAGCAGCAGAACUAGGCCAGGAAGGUGUUGGGGAACAGACUGAAGAGCCACAAGCCAAGAAAGAUGGGCUGGCUGUCCAAGCUGAAAGGAAAGAUGGGCAGGCUGUCCAAGCUGAAAGGAAAGAUGGGCAGGCUGUCCAAGCUGAAAGGAAAGAUGGGCAGGCUGUCCAAGCUGAAAGGAAAGAUAGACAGGCUGUCCAAGCUGAAAGGAAAGAU